GAAGCUACGGCAUCAGUAAUGAUGGGUAGGGGAGCUUCCCAUACGGGUUGAAGCAUGACCGUAAGGACAUGUGGACAGUAUGGGAGUGAGAAUGUUGGCAUGAGUAGCGAGAUGUGGGUGAGAAUCCCACAGGCCGUAAACCCAAGGUUUCCAGGGGAAGGUUCGUCCGCCCUGGGUUAGUCGGGACCUAAGCUGAGGCCGAAAGGCGUAGGUGAUGGACAACAGGUUGAUAUUCCUGUACUACCGAUAACCGUUUGAGAGAAGGGAUGACACAGUAGGAUAAGCUAAGCACACUGUUGGUUAUGUGUGCCCAAGCAUUGAGGCAGUCAAAGUAGGCAAAUCCGCUUUGAUAAUGCUGGGAUGUGAUGGGGAGCGAAAUUUAGUAGCGAA
rnacentral:rRNA from 1 species